GCUUGGUGAAUGUUGGAGGGAUCAAUUUUUCCUUUGAACAAAGCCACAAUGGGCUCAGUAAUACUUGGAAGUCUCAAAGUACCCACGGUACAUGAAGGAAGCAUAGGGGUGAAUAAAAAAUGGUCCCUAGGGCUCACGAGGGUAAUGUUGUACAAGGACGGGUCCAAAUUUUUGAUUGCCGCGACUGCACCCCAUCCAGAACCCAAAACAACUAUGUUCUUUUUCGGAACACCAGAUUUUCCUUUUGGCGAACUGUUGUUCAGUCUUCGUAAGGAUUGGAAGAGGGCUACGGCACCCAACAUGGACAAAGAAGAAGUAACUUCCGCCAUUUCAAGUGCUCGAGAGAAAAAUGAUUUGUUACGGGGUGUAGGAACAUUCCCACUGUUCUUUACAGCACAGGAUACAUGAAAUGAACGAACCAUCGUUUUUGAAUAUGGCACUGUACGAGACAGGCGAACCACAGACUGUAGUCUAGCUUUUGAGACCGACAUUUUUUAAGAAAAAAGAAGUAAACAAAUUUCCCCUUAAAUAGGACUAAGUGAUAAGUGGUAGGGAGGCGUGAGUAAAAAAAUGUAUGAGAUAAUGACAAAUGUUAAAGAGCAAGCAAACUAA